rnacentral:rRNA from 1 species
UAGACACCAAAGUAGACCACGUUAAGCAUGCCUAGACAAAGGACUAAACCAGAUGGGACACUACUCUAAUGUCUUUGGUUGGGGCGACCGCGGGGAAAUACAAAACCCCCACGUGGAAUGGGAAUACUUUUCCUACAACCCAGAGCUCCCGCUCUAAUAAACAGAAAUUCUGACCAAUCAGAUCCGGCAACGCCGAUCAACGGACCGAGUUACCCUAGGGAUAACAGCGCAAUCCCCUUUUAGAGCCCAUAUCGACAAGGGGGUUUACGACCUCGAUGUUGGAUCAGGACAUCCUAAUGGUGCAGCCGCUAUUAAG